CGAUCGGUAAGGAGUAAGCAGUACUGAAGUAUAUUGCAGUAUACAGUGCAGUGAGAAUAACACCGACGUUUAGUGCAUAUGGUGUCCUGCCUGUGAGUGUGCGCUAAUCGGAUUAGUGAUGGAAGAAGUAACACUGCCGGGAAGCAUGAAUCGGCAGAAGUGAACAUAAAUCUUUGAGAUCGGCCUUUUCUUUAAACCAGCAACAUUCGAGGUGGUGCUUCCUUCUUGCGGGCUGGUGAUGUCAAGGUGAGUGGACGAUAAGGGCGUGCUAAGCAGCGGGGUGGCCAGCAUGGUGCUGGUAGACUAUGACCCAAUCUGUCCGGACAGCAUGUGUCGUUCUGCGGACGCCGAGGGAUACACACCCACACGAUCAUCACUCCCAUAGAACAGUAGGUUAAGUAGGGUAGAA